rnacentral:rRNA from 1 species
GGAAGUAAAAGUCGUAACAAGGUCUCCGUUGGUGAACCAGCGGAGGGAUCAUUACCGAGUUUACAACUCCCAAACCCCUGUGAACAUACCUUAAUGUUGCCUCGGCGGAUCAGCCCGCGCCCCGUAAAACGGGACGGCCCGCCAGAGGACCCAAACUCUAAUGUUUCUUAUUGUAACUUCUGAGUAAAACAAACAAAUAAAUCAAAACUUUCAGCAACGGAUCUCUUGGUUCUGGCAUCGAUGAAGAACGCAGCAAAAUGCGAUAAGUAAUGUGAAUUGCAGAAUUCAGUGAAUCAUCGAAUCUUUGAACGCACAUUGCGCCCGCUGGUAUUCCGGCGGGCAUGCCUGUUCGAGCGUCAUUUCAACCCUCAAGCCCCCGGGUUUGGUGUUGGGGAUCGGCUCUGCCUUCUGGCGGUGCCGCCCCCGAAAUACAUUGGCGGUCUCGCUGCAGCCUCCAUUGCGUAGUAGCUAACACCUCGCAACUGGAACGCGGCGCGGCCAUGCCGUAAAACCCCAACUUCUGAAUGUUGACCUCGGAUCAGGUAGGAAUACCCGCUGAACUUAAGCAUAUCAAUAAGCGGAGGA